CUUUCCAACUCUGUGGAGUUUUGCUUUGUUUUGUUUCUGGCUGGCUUGAUCUGCAAGUGAAAUGAUUCGGGACAUCCUCACGAGGUCCUCUCAGAAAAACAAAGAAAAAGAAAGAAAUUGCUUUCACAAAAGUCUAUGCUGAACAGAAUGAUUUAAAUAUCCAAAGGAGCAGCCUUGAGAAGACGGAAGGGCUGAGAAGCAGAGUGGGACCGUCCUUGGGAGCUGCCGAGAACCGCACGGAAGGCCAAGAGAACUGUCCUGAUAAUCGCCCUGGACAGUCCAGGAAACGGGUUCCCGGUCUGCAGCCCCUCUGCCGGUCUGCUCCUCUGCGUCCCACUGAAGAGCUCUGAGGUUUGCCGAGACCCACACUGCCCUUGCAGGGACGAGCAGAGAGACGCAGGGAACAGAGGCACAGGAGGACUGGGAUGCACCACCCAGGCAGAGCAGAGGUCAGGCCCAGGCCCCUCAGCAGACAUAGCCCUGGAUUCCAGUGGUCCAGGACGUGACCUGCUGUCUGUUUCCUCCGCUGACACAGGCCAUGAGGGCACUUCAAUCCCACACAGCGCGUGACCCACGCGUGCUAUUGGGCGCCCACACGCGGCAGGUCUGAGCUGGGCUGUGACACGAGGGCCCGCACACGCUGCCUUUUGAACACUCAACACAAAAAACACAAAGUAGCUCAGUGAUGUUUAUAUUCAUUACAUGGUCGAAAGGAUAACAUUCUUGAU